ensembl:lncRNA
AUUUCUGCCUGUCUGACCAUUCUUUAAUAAACUACUGUAUAUGGAUCCGAACAUCUCUGACUUCGUGUUACAGAGUGAGACUUGUGUAUGGGUGUUUAUGAUGUUUUUGUGUAUAUUCCCGAAGUGUUUGCACAGAGUGUGACGUAUGUAUAUGUUAUAUUAAACGUGCUAUGUGUUGAUUUAUGAGUUUGGAUGUGUAUUAAAAUUAGUUCAUGUGAUUACACAAAUGUUGUUUAUAAAGAAUAGAGCAGAGAUGUUAUUACAAUUAUUUCUUGCUGAACACAGGAUAUUUCCAUGUUUAAAAAGCAAUGUUUUGCACAUGCUUUUUCAAACCAUCUGAUCAUGGUUUUGCUAUACUAGCUAUUUAGCUUCACCAUGGUAGUUGUGUGAUAAUAUAAAUGGCAGUGAUCCUCAAAUCUGGCUUAUGAGAUUCACUUUCCUUCAGAGUUUAACUCCAAGCCUAAUCAAACAAACCUACCUGUGAUUUUCUAAUGAUCCUGAAGACACUGAUUAGCAAACUCAGGUGUGUUUGAUUAGGGUUAGAGCUAAAUUCUGCAAGAAAGUGGAUCUCGCGAGCCAGAUUUGAGGAUCACUGCUAAUGGUAUUCAAUCCAAAUGACUACACCAGGGGUGGCGAACAUCGGUCCUGGAGAGCCUCAGCACAGUAGACCCUUAUGAAAAAGAAGUUUAUUCAAGUGUGCUAUUAGUAUACUUCUUUUAAACUAAAAAUAGGAAAGUAUGCUUUUAGUUUACUUUUUAUGUACUUCUCAGAAAUGGGCUUUAUGUACUUCUCAGAAAUAUACUUAAAAUGACUUUUAAGUAUACUUGACUUAUACUUACAAAAAGUCUAAAUAUACUUGAACUAUACUUAAGUAUACAGGUCCUUCUCAAAAAAUUAGCAUAUUGUGAAAAAGUUCAUUAUUUUCCUUAAUAUAAUGAUAAAAAUUUAACUUUCAUAUAUUUUAGAUUCAUUGCACACCAACUGAAAUAUUUCAGGUCUUUUAUUGUUUUAAUACU